GACGAACGCUGGCGGCGUGCUUAACACAUGCAAGUCGAACGAUGAACCACUUCGGUGGGGAUUAGUGGCGAACGGGUGAGUAACACGUGGGCAAUCUGCCCUUCACUCUGGGACAAGCCCUGGAAACGGGGUCUAAUACCGGAUAACACUGGCCACGGGGCAUCUGUGGUGGUUAAAAGCUCCGGCGGUGAAGGAUGAGCCCGNGGCCUAUCAGCUUGUUGGUGAGGUAAUGGCNCACCAAGGCGACGACGGGUAGCCGGCCCUGAGAGGGCGACCGGCCACACUGGGACUGAGACCACGGCCCAGACUCCUACGGGAGGCAGCAGUGGGGAAUAUUGCACAAUGGGC
rnacentral:rRNA from 1 species